rnacentral:misc_RNA from 1 species
UGAUUUCCUCUAAAAAUAUAUAUCAGGCCUUUUAAAAAUGACAUGUCCUUGUUUUAGCAUUACAGAUGAGAUGAAAAAUAUUAUCUGCACAUAAUGUUACAUUACACAUAAGAGAAGGGGAGGGGGGGAGAUUUAGAAGAAAGAGUGGAUUGCUUUUGCUCUACUUAGUUUAGUGAAACUUGAGACUAGUCAAGACAUUGUUGUUUACUGGAUCAGCCAAAUGAUCAAGAAGGUUUUGGUAAGGUCCAACACCAGUAACCAAUGCUUGAAUAAAGUAUCCCAAAACAGCCAACAUAGCAAGUCUUCCGUUCUUAAUCUCCUUAAGCUUCAAUUCCUUCAUAGACUUUUCAUCUUUUCCAAAUCCAAGUGGAUUAAACAAUGGGCCACCUGGGUAUGCUGGAUCACCUGACCCACCCAAACCCUUUUCAAGACCCAAGAAGUAUUGUUUCCCCAUUGAACCAGGUUUGGCCCAAUCUUGG